GUAACCCCUUAAAUGUGUCUGAUCGUGGAAGCUAAGCAGUGUCCAGCCUAGUUGGUACUUGGAAGAAAGACCAAAGAACAAAUUGGCAGGAGGUUACU
rnacentral:rRNA from 1 species